rnacentral:rRNA from 1 species
CUAAUGCCGGAUAUUGUGUCCUACUGCACAGUAGGUUAACGAAAGAUUUAUCGUUGUGGGAUGAGCUUGCGUCCGAUUAGCUAGUUGGCGGGGUAAUAGCCCACCAAGGCGACGAUCGGUAGCCGGCCUGAGAGGGUGAUCGGCCACAUUGGGACUGAGAUACGGCCCAGACUCCUACGGGAGGCAGCAGUAGGGAAUAUUGCGCAAUGGGGGGAACCCUGACGCAGCAACGCCACGUGUGUGAAGAAGCAUUUCGGUGUGUAAACCACUGUCGGAAAGGAAUAACGGAAGACUUCGGUCUUUAUGAAUGUACUUUUAGAGGAAGCACCGGCAAACUUCGUGCCAGCAGCCGCGGUAAAACGGGGGGUGCAAGCGUUGUUCGGAAUCACUGGGCGUAAAGGGAGCGUAGGCGGAAGUGCAAGCAAUCUGUAUAAUCCUGGGGCCCAACCCCAGUUCUGCAGAUUGGACUGUAUUUCUUGAAUAGUUCAGAGGCAAGCGGAAUUUCUGGUGUAGCGGUGGAAUGCGUAGAGAUCAGAAAGAACACCAAUGGCGAAGGCAGCUUGCUGGGGACUUAUUGACGCUGAGGCUCGAAAGUGUGGGUAGCAAACAGGAUUAGAUACCCUGGUAGUCCACGCUGUAAACGAUGCAUACUGGGUGUCCGAAAUUCGUUUCGGGUACCGUAGCUAACGCGUUAAGUAUGCCGCCUGGGGAGUACGUACGCAAGUAUGAAACUCAAAGGAAUUGACGGGGGCCCGCACAAGCAGUGGAGCAUGUGGUUUAAUUCGAAGCAACGCGCAGAACCUUACCA